CUCAACGAAAAGAAGUAAAUGAAGGACGAGCAAUUAAAGAAAUGAGAGAAGACUGGCCAUGGUGGUUUAUGGAAACUGGAAUGACCACACACUUUCAGGAACUGACAGGAAUACACCUGAAAGAAGAUUUUCUGAAGAAUGUUGACCAGAAGGGGAAAAGGCUCCUAAACUAUAUGAAAACAAUAGCCGCCAACAAGAACAAAAAGCUGUGCCAAGCCACGGCCAAGCUUGAAUUCAUCAGGGGAGAACACACAGGGUCUUCUGCAGAUGUCAUCGAGAUGGUCUUGCUUCUCCUGGCCUACUUUGAUGAGAAGGAGGAGGUCAUGUUUUGCUACGUAGAUGAAACCUGUCUGGCCGAAGACGUGGAAUUCGCAGAAGUUGCCUUAACUCCCACGAUAGUUGUAUGUGGACAGUCCAGUUUUUCUGCCAGAAGAAUGAUGCUUAGUAUUGACCAAGUUAUUGUAAAUGACCAAAUGACAACCUUCAUCCAGUCAUUAUGCAUGAUGUUUGGAAGUUAUUACUCCUAUAACAUUCAUUACCCAUCAAAGCUCGCAUCCACCCUGGAGUUUCUUCAGAGAUGUUUCUUCUCCAUUAACCCUGAUAAGGGAUCAAAAGUGGAGAAGACCAGUACAGCCCACAUGCAGGUCAACCCUCGCGUACUCACUCUGAUCCAAGACCUGGCAGACUACGAGUGGCGGGACGUUUAAUAAUAUGUUUCUUCUCCAUUAACCCUGUUAAGGGAUCAAAAGUGGAGAAGACCAGUACAGCCCACAUGCAGGUCAACCCUCGCGUACUCACUCUGAUCCCAGACCUGGCAGACUACGAGUGGCGGGACGUUUAACAAUGUGAGGGCUACGAUGAUGAUGAGUCCAGGGAGAUCAGGCACCAUCUACCCCCAACCCUUCCUCAAGAAGCUCCCAUCCAAAUAAUGUUUGUUUAAACAUUUACUAUGUUAAUGUUAUUUUCAAGGGGUGCUAUAUUGUUAACCUAACUUGCUGUUCUUAAUAAUACUUGAUGUAUCUCAAACACCAAAAGCAAAAGUUUGUAAAGGCUCAACAUAUAAGCCAUUGCUUCAAAUUUUCUAAACUACUUAUUUUAAAGGGUUAGUUCACCCAAAAAUGAAAAUUCUGUCAGUAAUUACUCACCCUCAUGUUGUUCCAACCAUGCAAGUCUUUUGUU